GAUGAACGCUGGCGGCGUGCCUAAUACAUGCAAGUCGAGCGAACGGACGAGAAGCUUGCUUCUCUGAUGUUAGCGGCGGACGGGUGAGUAACACGUGGAUAACCUACCUAUAAGACUGGGAUAACUUCGGGAAACCGGAGCUAAUACCGGAUAAUAUUUUGAACCGCAUGGUUCAAAAGUGAAAGACGGUCUUGCUGUCACUUAUAGAUGGAUUCGCGCUGCAUUAGCUAGUUGGUAAGGUAACGGCUUACCAAGGCAACGAUGCAUAGCCGACCUGAGAGGGUGAUCGGCCACACUGGAACUGAGACACGGUCCAGACUCCUACGGGAGGCAGCAGUAGGGAAUAUUGCACAAUGGGCGAAAGCCUGACGGAGCAACGCCGCGUGAGUGAUGAAGGUCUUCGGAUCGUAAAACUCUGUUAUUAGGGAAGAACAGAUGUGUAAGUAACUGUGCACAUCUUGACGGUACCUAAUCAGAAAGCCACGGCUAACUACGUG
rnacentral:rRNA from 1 species